UAAGCAAUUAUACAGCGAAACUGCGAAUGGCUCAUUAUAUAAGUUAUCGUUUAUUUGAUAGUACCUUACUACUUGGAUAACCGUGGUAAUUCUAGAGCUAAUACAUGCUAAAAAUCCCGACUUCGGAAGGGAUGUAUUUAUUAGAUUAAAAACCAAUGCCCUCUGGGCUCUUUGGUGAUUCAUGAUAACUUCUCGAAUCGCACGGCCUUGCGCCGGCGAUGGUUCAUUCAAAUUUCUUCCCUAUCAACUUUCGAUGUUUGGGUAUUGGCCAAACAUGGUUGCAACGGGUAACGGAGGGUUAGGGCUCGACCCCGGAGAAGGAGCCUGAGAAACGGCUACUACAUCCAAGGAAGGCAGCAGGCGCGCAAAUUACCCAAUCCCGACACGGGGAGGUAGUGACAAUAAAUACUGAUACAGGGCUCUUUUGGGUCUUGUAAUUGGAAUGAGUACAAUUUAAAUCCCUUAACGAGGAACAAUUGGAGGGCAAGUCUGGUGCCAGCAGCCGCGGUAAUUCCAGCUCCAAUAGCGUAUAUUAAAGUUGUUGUGGUUAAAAAGCUCGUAGUUGAACCUUGGGCCUGGCUGGCCGGUCCGCCUCACCGCGUGUACUGGUCCGGCCGGGCCUUUCCCUCUGUGGAACCUCAUGCCCUUCACUGGGUGUGACGGGGAAACAGGACUUUUACUUUGAAAAAAUUAGAGUGCUCCAGGCAGGCCUAUGCUCGAAUACAUUAGCAUGGAAUAAUGAAAUAGGACGUGUGGUUCUAUUUUGUUGGUUUCUAGGACCGCCGUAAUGAUUAAUAGGGACAGUCGGGGGCAUCAGUAUUCAAUUGUCAGAGGUGAAAUUCUUGGAUUUAUUGAAGACUAACUACUGCGAAAGCAUUUGCCAAGGAUGUUUUCAUUAAUCAGGAACGAAAGUUAGGGGAUCGAAGACGAUCAGAUACCGUCGUAGUCUUAACCAUAAACUAUGCCGACUAGGGAUCGGACGAUGUUAUUUUUUGACGCGUUCGGCACCUUACGAGAAAUCAAAGUGCUUGGGCUCC
rnacentral:rRNA from 1 species